CGCCGCGUAGCUGCAGGCGGUACGGGAGAGGCGUAGGGCUGCUCGCCGCUGGGGCCGGCCUUCCCGCCUCGUUCCUUCGGGGCCCGCCGCAGGCGGUGACAGAUCCCUGCUCCCAAAUCCAAGCCCUUGUUCUUUCGCGAGGUACUCCCGUGGAGCCCGACGUGAGCUCGUCCCCUCCCCGGUUUGCUCUGUGAGGGACUUCUUGACUCCCCAGGUCCUCGGUGCUAUUUCUUCUAAGAGAAGCUGAAUUUCUAACACACAGGGUUCAGGAGGACAACAUUCUGCAUGUGUACAAAUGGUCACCAGAUAAUCUCCACAAGUUACUGAAGAUGCCCUCUGACUCCUGGCUUUUCAUCAGCAAGAGACAUGGUGGAGUGAGUGAUAAACGAGUACUGCAUGUUGAUCUUUAUUAUCUUUGAAGAAUACAUCCUCGAGGAGCCUGCUAGAAAGGAACGCACUUACUUCUAAAGACAGCCGCCUCACCUGCAGUACUGUGUCCAGAUGUGGAGUCCUCAGUACAGGAGAGACAUAGACCUGUUGGAGCAUGUCCAGAGGAGGGCCACAAAAAUGAUCCAAGGGAUGGAACACCUCUCCUAUGAGGACAGACUGAAAGAGCUGGAGCUGUUCAGCCUGGAGAACAGAAGGCUCUGAAGGGAGCUGGACUAGAUGGCCCUCAGAGGUCACUUCCAACUCUAAGGAUUCUAGGAUUCUGUGAUUCUCAUGAUGCUGCUUUAAUAGUUCAAAGGCUGCGCUAACAAUAAGACGCAUUGGCUCGGAAACCUUUCCUGUCAGAAUCGAUUGUUGCAUUGAUUCCUCAGAUGGGGCACCGAAAGCUCAGAAUAUGAUUUUUAAUGAAGAGCUGCAUGUUGGCAUCACUCCUGGAAGAUCAACUCUUAUAUCUCGCAGUUACAGCGCUCUUAUCAGUAACUUUAUAACCCACCUCUUAAAGAACUGUGUAAUUUAAGUUGAUAUGGAUAUCUGAAAGCUCUCUUUAUUGCCCACAGCUCCUCCUGUAGUUUCAGUUUCACGACUAAAGAGUACAAACACUAACUGCACUUCUGUUUUUACUGCCCUGCUUUAUCAGGCAAACUGCAACUUUACACCUUGUUAAGGAAGCAAAGUGAGAAGAAAACCACAUUAUACUGUUAACAAGGUAGAUAACGCUAUUAUUUACCGUGACUUUUUUGGAUGAAUGUUAUUCUUCGUGCAAAAGCACCAGAGAUAAAGCAUACCCUCACAUGAUAACGCGCGCAUUGAGAAGAGCCUUUUUCACACUCGCUAUCAGCACAAAGCCAUGACCUCAGAGCAACAAUCCCACACCUGAGCCAGUUCACCAGGGACCGUUCUGGAGGCAAAGCCAGCCCCUAACUCAGUGGGCUAAAGUAAACACGUUUUAUCUGCUCAGUGCUGAAUCACACACAGUUUCUGGUUCGGACCAAAGCUCCUGCCUUUAGGCCACUGAUUGGAACUGGGGCUGGUUUUCCACCCAAGAGCUUAACUCAUUUCCACCCUCUCCUGCAG
ensembl:lncRNA